UUUCCGUAGGUGAACCUGCGGAAGGAUCAUUGAAUCGAUCGAAUCCACUUUGGUAACCCAACUCGUGCACCGUCCGAAGGUCAGACCUCCCUUUCGAGGGAAGCCUGACCGGGCGCCGGGCAACCGAUUGUUCCCUUUGCCCAAGAGGCAUUGGGAGGCCCUUUGCCGAAAGGCAUCGGCUCCUUGUCAGUCGGGGGUGCCGGCGGGCCAGGCCCCGAAUGCUUUCGGGUGGUGCCCUCUCCUUUUUGGAGAGGGCCGACCAUGCCUCCACUUCGGCCUUCGGGCUGAUGGAAGCGCGGUUCCCGGUCGACUCUUUUUGUUCAACCCAGACAAAACCUUGCUAAAGCCAACGGCGAUCGGCUCUGCCGAAAGCAAAGCAAGACAACUCUCAACAACGGAUAUCUUGGCUCCC
rnacentral:misc_RNA from 1 species